CUCAGUCAGUGUCUGUUAAAGAGGAGCUCAGCCAGUGUAGCUGUAGUGUAAAUGAUCAGUAGAUUAUUUAAGUGCAACUGGCAGUCUUCUGUGUAUGUAAUAUGCCAUCUUUGUUAUGGUGUAAACACUUAGGUGUAAGAGGCAUUUGUCCCAACACUAAGUGUAGCUGGUUAUAGCGGCAACUUUGGCAACAAAAUUGUGAAUUUUGUUGUACCUUUGCUACAAAGGGGCGAAAGCUGUAAAAGCGCUAUUGGGGAAGAUGGUGCGCAAGGGACACAUGAGACGAGCGAUCGGUGUCUUGUCUCACUCUAAGCUACGAAUGAUCAGUGUCUUGUCUCACUCUAAGCUAUGAAAGAUUGGUGUUCGUAGAAGUGUUAUCACCAAGACUGUUUAGUGCUGCGGUUGUAGUGCCCACCAAAGUUUUAAAGUGGCUCAAAAAGUAAAGUUGAUUUUUGAAGGAGGUGCCUGUAGGUAGUAGAGUAGUCUCGACCAAGCUACUCUAAAAUUGGUGUACUUCUAUCUUUCAUCUUCUCAUUCAUUGCUUAUUUUGUUAUCAAUUGCUUACACUUAAAAAAAAAAUGAAAAGUAUUUAAAUGGAGAUGUCACCUACUAAAA